GGGAGUGUAUAAUAAGCUUCUCCAACAAAUCCAGAGGCACUCCCCAAAAUAGGAUCCGACUUCAUCGCCAAAACUGCUGUCUUUGUAUUUGCUCGAUGCUCCAAGUUUUUCCCUGCUGUCCUAAUUAGUUAUUCAUCCUUUGCAUCAUCGUAUAAGUUCAUAACUACCCUUCACCGGAAAAAUCCAUUUUCGACGAACACCGAAAAUCCUAUAGAAGCAAAGAAGGAGAGCACAGACACUAAGGUUCGUUUCAGGGGAAGGACGAGGAGGCCUAGUUCCUCACCGGGAACGACGGUUUUCCUCUCAUUUUUGUCUUGCCGGUGUCGCGGCACUAGGUUUUGUUCAAAGGUGAGGCAUCAAGUAUGGUAAUGUGAUACGGCCUGUUUUUCAAUUUCCACGGUGCCUUCUGUUCAAAGGUGUAGACUGUAGAAGCAAUAUUAUAGAAGCUGAGUGAUGGGUGUUUGUGUCUCAAAGCCAAGUGAGGCUCUCAGAGCACAGACGAAAAGAGCCGAGAGACACGGCAGAGGCAGACUCCGACGCCGGGGGAGGAAGAGCAAGAAGGUAGCCUCCACCGUUAUAAGCUCGGAGAUUGCUGCU